UACGUAGGGGGCGAGCGUUGUCCGGAAUUAUUGGGCGUAAAGCGUGCGCAGGCGGUUCGUUAUGUCCGUUGUGAAAGCCCCGGGCUCAACCUGGGAAUGGCAAUGGAAACUGGCGGGCUAGAGUGUGGCAGAGGGGGGUGGAAUUCCGCGUGUAGCAGUGAAAUGCGUAGAGAUGCGGAGGAACACCGAUGGCGAAGGCAGCCCCCUGGGCUAGCACUGACGCUCAGGCACGAAAGCGUGGGGAGCAAACAGG
rnacentral:rRNA from 1 species